rnacentral:rRNA from 1 species
UACGGAGGAUGCAAGCGUUAUCCGGAAUGAUUGGGCGUAAAGCGUCCGCAGGUGGCUAUGUAAGUCUGCUGUUAAAGAGUGAGGCUCAACCUCAUAAGAGCAGUGGAAACUAAUAAGCUUGAGUACGGUAGGGGCAGAGGGAAUUCCCGGUGUAGCGGUGAAAUGCGUAGAGAUCGGGAAGAACACCAAUGGCGAAAGCACUCUGCUGGGCCGAAACUGACACUGAGAGACGAAAGCUAGGGGAGCGAAUGGG